rnacentral:lncRNA from 1 species
UAUCUAGUUGGCCAAACAAAACCCACAACUCGAAGAGAAUUAGAAGGAUAUGAAAUCAUGCAUAAGAGAGAUAAGAAGAAACUCAAAUAAGAUUCAUAGAAAAUCUGAUCAUAAAUCCACAAUUCAUUGGAUCUCGACAAACACACCGCAAAAGAAGAUUACAUCAGAUAGAUCUCCAUGAAGAUCAUGGAGAACUUUGUAUUGAAGAUCCAAGAGAGAGAAGAAGCCAUCUAGUUACUAGCUAUGGACGCGUAGGUCUAUGAUGAACUACUCACGCAUCAUCGGAGAGGUCAUGGUGUUGAUGAAGAAGCCCUCCGUAUCCGAAUCCCCCUC